rnacentral:rRNA from 1 species
UACGAAGGGGGCUAGCGUUGCUCGGAAUCACUGGGCGUAAAGCGCACGUAGGCGGCUUUUUAAGUCAGUGGUGAAAUCUCCGGGCUCAACCCGGAAACUGCCAUUGAUACUAUUAGUCUUGAAUUCUGUUGAGGUGGGCGGAAUACAUCAUGUAGCGGUGAAAUGCUUAGAUAUGAUGUAGAACACCGAUUGCGAAGGCAGCUCACUAAGCAGACAUUGACGCUGAGGCACGAAAGCGUGGGGAUCAAACAGG